rnacentral:rRNA from 1 species
AUUAGAGUUUGAUCAUGGCUCAGAUUGAACGCUGGCGGCAGGCUUAAACAUGCAAGUCGAGCGGGGAAAGUAGCUUGCUACUUUACCUAGCGGCGGACGGGUGAGUAAUGCUUAGGAAUCUGCCUAUUAGUGGGGGACAACAUCUCGAAAGGGAUGCUAAUACCGCAUACGUCCUACGGGAGAAACGAGGGGACCUUCGGGCCUUGCGCUAAUAGAUGAGCCUAAGUCGGAUUAGCUAGUUGGUGGGGUAAAGGCCUACCAAGGCGACGAUCUGUAGCGGGUCUGAGAGGAUGAUCCGCCAUACUGGGACUGAGACACGGCCCAGACUCCUACGGGAGGCAGCAGUGGGGAAUAUUGGACAAUGGGGGGAACCCUGAUCCAGCCAUGCCGCGUGUGAAGAAGGCCUUUUGGUUGUAAAGCCAUUUAAGCGAGGAGGAGGCUACCGAGAUUAAUACUCUUG